rnacentral:rRNA from 1 species
UACGUAGGUGGCAAGCGUUAUCCGGAUUUACUGGGUGUAAAGGGCGUGUAGGCGGGGACGCAAGUCAGAUGUGAAAACCACGGGCUCAACCUGUGGCCUGCAUUUGAAACUGUGUUUCUUGAGUACUGGAGAGGCAGACGGAAUUCCUAGUGUAGCGGUGAAAUGCGUAGAUAUUAGGAGGAACACCAGUGGCGAAGGCGGCUUACUGGACAGUAACUGACGUUGAGGCUCGAAAGCGUGGGGAGCAAAAAGG